rnacentral:rRNA from 1 species
UACGUAGGGUGCAAGCGUUGUCCGGAAUUAUUGGGCGUAAAGAGCUCGUAGGCGGUUUGUCGCGUCGAAUGUGAAAACCCGGGGCUCAACUCCGGGCCUGCAUUCGAUACGGGCAGACUAGAGUUCGGUAGGGGAGACUGGAAUUCCUGGUGUAGCGGUGAAAUGCGCAGAUAUCGGGAGGAACACCGGUGGCGAAGGCGGUUCUCUGGGCCUGGCCUGACGCUGAGGAGCGAAAGCGUGGGGAGCGAACAGG